rnacentral:rRNA from 1 species
UACGUAGGGUGCAAGCGUUAAUCGGAAUUAUUGGGCGUAAAGCGCACGUAGGCGGCCUUGUAAGUCUCACUGUGAAAGCCCGGGGCUCAACCCCGGGAGGCCAGGGGAUACUGCGAGGCUGGAGACAAGCAGAGGUUGGUAGAAUUCCGGGUGUAGCGGUGGAAUGCGUAGAGAUCCGGAGGAAUACCAGAGGCGAAGGCGGCCAACUGGGCUUGUUCUGACGCUGAGGUGCGAAAGCGUGGGGAGCGAACAGG